AGAGUUUGAUCCUGGCUCAGGACGAACGCUGGCGGCGCGCUUAAUGCAUGCAAGUCGAACGGUGAACCCGACUUCGGUCGGUGGAUCAGUGGCAGACGGCUGAGUAACACGUAAGUAACCAACCCUUGGGUGGGGAAUAACAUUGGGAAACCAAUGCUAAUACCGCAUAGUCUUUGAAAUCAAAUGGUUUCAAUGUAAAGGCUUCGGUCGCCCGAGGACGGGCUUGCGGCUUAUCAGGUUGUUGGUGGGGUAAUGGCCUACCAAGCCUACGACGGGUAACUGGUCUGAGAGGACGAUCAGUCAGAGGGGGACUGCGACACGGCCCCCACUCCUACGGGAGGCAGCAGCAGGGAAUCUUGCGCAAUGGACGAAAGUCUGACGCAGCGACGCCGCGUGAAGGAAGAAGGCUCUAGGGUUGUAAACUUCUUUUCUGAGGGAAGAGUAAGGACGGUACCUCAGGAAUAAGCCUCGGCUAACUACGUGCCAGCAGCCGCGGUAAUACGUAGGAGGCAAGCGUUGUCCGGAUUUAUUGGGCGUAAAGGGCGUGCAGGUGGCAUAGAAAGUUUUUGUUGAAAUCUCCCGGCUUAACUGGGAGGGGUGCAAGAAUACUUCUAAGCUAGAGGGCAGUAGAGGAAAGUGGAAUUCAUGGUGUAGUGGUGAAAUGCGUAGAUAUCAUGAGGAACACCAGUGGCGAAAGCGGCUUUCUGGGCUGCACCUGACACUGAGGCGCGAAAGCAUGGGUAGCAAACCGGAUUAGAUACCCGGGUAGUCCAUGCCAUAAACGAUGGAUACUGAGUAUGGGGGGUAUCGACCCCUUCUGUGCUGAAGCUAACGCGUUA
rnacentral:rRNA from 1 species